GGAAUCUUGGGCAAUGGGCGAAAGCCUGACCCAGCGACGCCGCGUGAGGGAAGAAGGCCUUCGGGUCGUAAACCUCUUUUAUGGGGGAAGAAGUUCCGACGGUACCCCAUGAAUAAGCCACGGCUAACUACGUGCCAGCAGCCGCGGGAAUACGUAGGUGGCGAGCGUUGUCCGGACUUACUGGGCGUAAAGGGCUUGUAGGCGGUCCGUUAAGUCCGAUGUGAAAUCUCCCGGCUCAACUGGGAGGGGUCAUUGGAUACUGGCGGACUAGAGGGGGGUAGAGGAAAGCAGAAUUCCCGGUGUAGCGGUGAAAUGCGUAGAUAUCGGGAGGAAUACCAGUGGCGAAGGCGGCUUUCUGGGCCUACCCUGACGCUGAGGAGCGAAAGCGUGGGGAGCAAA
rnacentral:rRNA from 1 species